rnacentral:rRNA from 1 species
ACGUCAAGCCUCAUGGCCCUUAUGUCCAGGGCUACACACGUGGCUACAAUGGCCGGUACAAAGGGGCGCAAGACCGCGAGGUGGAGCAAAUCCCAAAAACCGGUCUCAGUUCGGAUUGGAGUCUGCAACUCGACUCCAUGAAGUUGGAAUCGCUAGUAAUCGCGUAUCAGCAUGACGCGGUGAAUACGUUCCCGGGCCUU